rnacentral:rRNA from 1 species
AGCAGCCGCGGUAAUUCCAGCUCCAAUAGCGUAUAUUAAAGUUGUUGCAGUUAAAAAGCUCGUAGUUGAAUUUCGGGAUCAAUAUUUCGGUCAUGCCGUUGGUAUGCACUGUUAUCAUUGAUUUCUCACCUUCUAAAGAACCGUGAUGCCAUUAAUUUGGUGUUACGGGGAAUUAGGACUGUUACCUUGAAAAAUUAGAGUGUUUAAAGCAGGCUCACGCUUGAAUACAUUAGCAUGGAAUAAUGAAAUAGGACAUCCGAUUCUAUUUUGUUGGUUUCUAGGAUCGAUGUAAUGAUUAAUAGGGAUAGUUGGGGGCAUUAGUAUUCAAUUGUCAGAGGUGAAAUUCUUGGAUUUAUUGAAGACUAACUACUGCGAAAGCAUUUGCCAAGGAUGUUUUCAUUAAUCAAGAACGAAAGUUAGGGGAUCGAAGACGAUCAGAUACCGUCGUAGUCUUAACCAUAAACUAUGCCGACUAGGGAUCGGAUGAUGUUAAUUUUUAAUGACUCAUUC